AACAACAAAAUGAGUCUAGGAGUCACCAGAAGAGACUUGUGCUAAGACUUGUCCUGAGGCUUAAGCUAAGGCUGGAAGCUAGGUGCUAAAGUUCAGUCCUAACAGUAAGUAGGAAGCGGGUAGCGUGGACAUUUGUAUUCUCAACGGUAACAUUUGAAGACAUGCUUUGCCUUGGUAUGAAGUGUUCGAGAUGAACUACUCCUGAAUUCAUCCCGAGUUUAAAAUUCUGGCUGCUGAAUAGUAUUUUAAUCUGUUUAUCUGUUUAUUUCUUUUAUUUGUUAAGGCAUCACCAAAAUACAUUUUUAAAAAGUGCAUAACUCGGGGGCUGGAGAUGUGGCUGCUCUUCCAGAGGACUGGAGUUCCAUUACCCACGUGGCAGCUCCCAGCUGUCUGUAACUCAAGUUCCAGUGGACCGGACCCUCUCACACGGACAUGCAGACAAAGCACCAAUGUACAUAAAAAUUUACAAAUGGGUAACGUAGUCCAUCAUUUUGGAAUUUAAAACCCGGCUUUCAGUUCCUCAUCAGGUGUAUGAAUCAGCUUCCUGUCUACCCUGGGAAGAAUGGCCCCGCUGGACAAGCUAUGUGCUGGUUGUCUGACAAAAUAAAGAAUGAUGAAUGAAUGUGUAAGGUUGACCUAUGCAACAAUUAGCAACCAGUGCACGACAGCAUGUAAUUAGAAGGUAAAUUGCACGGUUCAGGAGAAAUUACAGGUGAGCCUGGCAUGGUGCCGCUCAAUUCUCAUACAAGUGGAACCUACUAGGGCUGACUUCUCUAGCCCUGGGCUGUCGACGCAGGGAUCCAUCCUAUUGCCAUGCGUUCUGUUGACAUUAAGGGACUAACCUUCAGAUUCCCCUACGGCUGCCUAUGAACAAGGGGACCCUAGGGAAGGGUAGCAUGCAGUAAAAUGGAAAUGACAGACUCAAAACAAAUUUAGAUUUUAAUUUCAUCUUCAGCAAUCCUUGUGAGCAAAGACAGAUGCCCUCUUUGAAUGCCCGUAUCUUUUGUGAAGGUUAGAAAUAAUACAUAUGGAGUAUCUCUCCAUAUGUAUACAUAUGUAUUCAUAUACUUAUAAUACAUAUUAGUAUCUGUCAGGCUAUAACUCUAAAUGAGUCAACCAGUAUAGCUGUUUAUGGCUAGUGCCUAUUCUUACUGUUGAGUCCUUACGUUAAUGCCCACUGUAACACUAUAUUUAAUCAAAACCUUUGGUAGCCACUUUACAGAGAGCUGUUGUAUUAUUGGAAAUUUGAGUCUGGGCUAGACAAACGGAAGAAAAGGUGGUGCAUGAAAACCGUUUCUGUAAUCCAUCCUUGCAUGCUUGAUUUUGCGCACAUCUUAAGCCCCACACGAACAAAAUCUCUCUGUUAACCCCAGUCCCACUUUUCCAAGAUAUCGGAUUCUCUGAAGCAAGCACAGCUCCCACUGAGUCCACACGGAAACCCCCACCUUCCCCAAUGGCCUCCAUCUGUUCUCCCCCGCCCCCACCCUGACAUGUGAAGCUGAGAAACUUGGAUCCUGGAGCUGCCCAGACUCCAGCUGUUUGAUAUUGUGUGGCAGCAACAGUAAAGAGGGCAGAGGCGAGAGAUUCCAGAUGAAAGCAAAACUCAAAAGAGAACCGGA
rnacentral:lncRNA from 1 species